GAUGAACGCUGGCGGCGUGCCUAAUACAUGCAAGUCGAGCGAACAGAUCAGGAGCUUGCUCCUUUGACGUUAGCGGCGGACGGGUGAGUAACACGUGGGUAACCUACCUAUAAGACUGGUAUAACUCCGGGAAACCGGGGCUAAUGCCGGAUAACAUUUAGAACCGCAUGGUUCUAAAGUGAAAGAUGGUUUUGCUAUCACUUAUAGAUGGACCCGCGCCGUAUUAGCUAGUUGGUAAGUUAACGGCUUACCAAGGCAACGAUACGUAGCCGACCUGAGAGAGUGAUAGGCGACAUGAGAGGGGGGACAGGGACAAGACGACUACGAGAGGGAGCAGUAGGGAAUGGGAGGCAAUGGGCGAAAGCAUGACGGAGCAACGCCGAGUGAGAGAUGAAGGUCUUCGGAGCGUAAAACUCGGUUAUUAGGGAAGAACAAAUGUGUAAGGAACUGUGCACGUCGUGACGGUAACGAAUAAGAAAGCCACGGCUAACUACGUG
rnacentral:rRNA from 1 species